GCUCGAGCCUGGGUUGGCUAGGUUUGGAUCGAGCUCAAGCCUAUAGUUUGAAAAAAAGUUUGGGUCUAAGCUUAGUCCGAAGUCCGAAAAAAAAAAUUGGCCCAUGCUCGGGUAGGGGUGUGGCCUAGCCCAGCUCAGUCUAGUUCCUUCUUAGAUAGGAUUGUGGAGGUGAACAUUAUGAUGCCUUGCAAUUAUAAUAGGAUUACAUAACUGUUGCUAAGGAAUAUAUUAGGGUUUACCAUAUAAUGCAAUUUUUUUUUUUUUGAUAGAGAAUGUAGGGAUGGCAACAAGUUGAUUAUGUGUCAGGUAGGCUAUUAUCCGUAUCCAUCCUAUACUCGCUUUGGGGAGGGUAAAGUUGGACGAAAUGGGUAGAGUUAGAAGGGACGAGUUGGAUGGAAGGGUCGGAUAAAGCUGUAAAAACUGUUUUUAAAUAAAAAAGAAUAUUAAAAUAAAACUUGGUGCUUCAGAUAAUAUUAAACCAAAUAAGAGUUGAAGACAUGGAACAUAAGAUACCAAAUUUUCAACAAUAAUAGAAAUAUGACCAACAAAAAUAUUAUUCUUUAAUAAGUUAAAUGUCCCUUAAACUAAAAAAAGUAAUUAAACUAGAAAAAUGAACAACAAAACAUGGCAAGUUACCUUUUGUAUGUU
rnacentral:lncRNA from 1 species